rnacentral:miRNA from 1 species
UUAUACAGAGAAACCGCUGUCG